rnacentral:lncRNA from 1 species
UGGGAUUACAGGCAUGAGCCAGGGCAUCCGGCUUUUAUUUAUUCAUUCAUUCAAUAUCUAAUGAGCACCUACCAGGUACCAAACACCAGAUGAUGCGCCCAAGUUCAUUAGACCCCACCGCUGUCUUCAAGGCACUCAUGAUCUAGGCCAGCGUUUUUUAACCACUUUUUUUUUUUUUUUUUUUGAGAUUCUGGUGAGAGCUAUAAAUUCUUUCCUGGAAAAACAUCUCUGCACACUAAGCUGUGCCUGGCAUUGGGAAAAAGAAAGCACGUAAUGUAACUGACAGCAUGAGUAACACAGUGAGAAAGGUUGGAGGAGAGAGCGCCAGGACCUCAGAACUCAGGCAUUAGAGGAGCCCCUUCCCCAGCCCUCCUUGAGGUUUCGUUGGGCAGGUUUCACUGAGGAAAAAGGGUCAAAUCCCUUUUUCGAAUUUGACUUCUUGUAAGUGCCAGAAGACUGC